rnacentral:rRNA from 1 species
GGGCGGCGUGCCUAAUACAUGCAAGUCGAACGAACUCUGGUAUUGAUUGGUGCUUGCAUCAUGAUUUACAUUUGAGUGAGUGGCGAACUGGUGAGUAACACGUGGGAAACCUGCCCAGAAGCGGGGGAUAACACCUGGAAACAGAUGCUAAUACCGCAUAACAACUUGGACCGCAUGGUCCGAGUUUGAAAGAUGGCUUCGGCUAUCACUUUUGGAUGGUCCCGCGGCGUAUUAGCUAGAUGGUGGGGUAACGGCUCACCAUGGCAAUGAUACGUAGCCGACCUGAGAGGGUAAUCGGCCACAUUGGGACUGAGACACGGCCCAAACUCCUACGGGAGGCAGCAGUAGGGAAUCUUCCACAAUGGACGAAAGUCUGAUGGAGCAACGCCGCGUGAGUGAAGAAGGGUUUCGGCUCGUAAAACUCUGUUGUUAAAGAAGAACAUAUCUGAGAGUAACUGUUCAGGUAUUGACGGUAUUUAACCAGAAAGCCACGGCUAACUACGUGCCAGCAGCCGCGGUAAUACGUAGGUGGCAAGCGUUGUCCGGAUUUAUUGGGCGUAAAGCGAGCGCAGGCGGUUUUUUAAGUCUGAUGUGAAAGCCUUCGGCUCAACCGAAGAAGUGCAUCGGAAACUGGGAAACUUGAGUGCAGAAGAGGACAGUGGAACUCCAUGUGUAGCGGUGAAAUGCGUAGAUAUAUGGAAGAACACCAGUGGCGAAGGCGGCUGUCUGGUCUGUAACUGACGCUGAGGCUCGAAAGUAUGGGUAGCAAACAGGAUUAGAUACCCUGGUAGUCCAUACCGUAAACGAUGAAUGCUAAGUGUUGGAGGGUUUCCGCCCUUCAGUGCUGCAGCUAACGCAUUAAGCAUUCCGCCUGGGGAGUACGGCCGCAAGGCUGAAACUCAAAGGAAUUGACGGGGGCCCGCACAAGCGGUGGAGCAUGUGGUUUAAUUCGAAGCUACGCGAAGAACCUUACCAGGUCUUGACAUACUAUGCAAAUCUAAGAGAUUAGACGUUCCCUUCGGGGACAUGGAUACAGGUGGUGCAUGGUUGUCGUCAGCUCGUGUCGUGAGAUGUUGGGUUAAGUCCCGCAACGAGCGCAACCCUUAUUAUCAGUUGCCAGCAUUAAGUUGGGCACUCUGGUGAGACUGCCGGUGACAAACCGGAGGAAGGUGGGGAUGACGUCAAAUCAUCAUGCCCCUUAUGACCUGGGCUACACACGUGCUACAAUGGAUGGUACAACGAGUUGCGAACUCGCGAGAGUAAGCUAAUCUCUUAAAGCCAUUCUCAGUUCGGAUUGUAGGCUGCAACUCGCCUACAUGAAGUCGGAAUCGCUAGUAAUCGCGGAUCAGCAUGCCGCGGUGAAUACGUUCCCGGGCCUUGUACACACCGCCCGUCACACCAUGAGAGUUUGUAACACCCAAAGUCGGUGGGGUAACCUUUUAGGAACCAGCCGCCUAAGGUGGGACAGAUGAUUAGGGUGAAGUCGUAACAAGGUGGCUU